rnacentral:sRNA from 1 species
GUCGAUGAUACAACGGAACGCAUGUUCUUCGCGCCGACGAAACUCCGUCGGCGCGAACGGCGAUCUAA